AAAAUCGACGCUCUGUGACAAUCUGCUGAAGACUUGAGGACUUGAUUGUGAGAUCACUGAAACCAUGCUGAAGGUAGCGCUUGUACUGGGAUGCCUCCUGAGUCUCACUCUGGCUCAACCUCAGAUGGAGCAGAAGCGAUUUGUUCGUUCUAGCUCCGAUUCCGAUUCCAACUCCAACUCAAAUGAGGCGACCACCACCACUCAGGCCACCACUGCAACCACCGCAACGAACAAUGCAGCAACCCUGGCCCAGCUAAUUGCUUCUCUUCUCCAACUUCUUCAAAACCAAAGAUAAAGGCUGAAAUAUCAGCAGAAAAUCAAUAAGUGAUUACAAGUCUAUUUUGAAUGGAUUCUUGACAAUAUUGAUGUUUUGCUUCAUUUUGCAUUGAGCUGAGAAUCAAUGGAAUCAAUGCUUCAUCAAUCUCCAAUGUAAUUCAAUAAAUGUUCACUAAUGUGUUUAAAGCAUUAAUAAAGUUGAUACAUGAAA